rnacentral:rRNA from 1 species
UACAGAGGUCUCAAGCGUUGUUCGGAUUCAUUGGGCGUAAAGGGUGCGUAGGCGGCGCGGUAAGUCGGGUGUGAAAUCUCGGAGCUUAACUCCGAAACUGCAUUCGAUACUGCCGUGCUUGAGGACUGGAGAGGAGACUGGAAUUUACGGUGUAGCGGUGAAAUGCGCAGAUAUCAGGAGGAACACCGGUGGCGAAGGCGGGUCUCUGGGAAGUAACUGACGCUGAGAAGCGAAAGCGUGGGUAGCGAACAGG